AGCGAACGCUGGCGGCAGGCCUAACACAUGCAAGUCGAACGAAGUCUUCGGACUUAGUGGCGGACGGGUGAGUAACACGUGGGAACGUGCCUUUAGGUUCGGAAUAACUCAGGGAAACUUGUGCUAAUACCGAAUGUGCCCUUCGGGGGAAAGAUUUAUCGCCUUUAGAGCGGCCCGCGUCUGAUUAGCUAGUUGGUGAGGUAAAGGCUCACCAAGGCGACGAUCAGUAGCUGGUCUGAGAGGAUGACCAGCCACAUUGGGACUGAGACACGGCCCAAACUACUACGGGAGGCAGCAGUGGGGAAUCUUGCGCAAUGGGCGAAAGCCUGACGCAGCCAUGCCGCGUGAAUGAUGAAGGUCUUAGGAUUGUAAAAUUCUUUCACCGGGGACGAUAAUGACGGUACCCGGAGAAGAAGCCCCGGCUAACUUCGUGCCAGCAGCCGCCGUAA
rnacentral:rRNA from 1 species